ensembl:lncRNA
GGCUGAUUGGAGUUGGUUUAAUCAACUCGGAGUAGUUUCACCCAGAGUGCACCGCAACUAUAAAAAGACAGCAUCAAUGGAACCCCGAUUCGACGAGUCACCAUGGUGACGGGGAAGCGGAGAGCUACGUUUUUUUUACACCACUUGAACUGGACAUCUUAAUGCGUUCAUAUGGCGACUUCGAACACGUUUUUAGAAAGAAGUGCAACACCUGCAGCUGCAAAAGAGAGGGAGACGGCGUGGGAGAACAUUGUUGCCCGGGUCAAUGCGUAAGUUUAAAUCACAAUAAUAUUACAGCAAAACUGUUUAAUAGCAGCCUAUUCUGUUAUUUCAUUUAGGUGCAAUCCUGCGGGGGAGAAGCGCAUGUGGCAGCAGCUGAAGAUGAAAUAUAAGAACAUUGUUCAAACGGGCAAGAGGAAAAGGUGCAACAGAAAAUUGGACCUUCCAAGCGUACUUGUGGAGAUGCAGGCUGAGGAGGAGCGGAACCGGCACCCAGCAUGAUGAGAACAUCUGGUUGCUCCUCAGCGAGGCAAGAGAGAAUGAAGCGGCCUUGCAGCGGGAGGAGAUGGUCCAGAAUGCUGCCUUCAACCAGUCAUUCCUGGGUGUACUGGGGCAGCUGGGGCAGGCAGUGCUGGGUGUACUGGGGCAGCUGGUGCAGGCAGUGCUGGGUGUACUGGGGCAGCUGGGGCAGGCAGUGGGCAGCCAGCGAGUCCACCUCCCAGAGACUUGAGAUUUAGUUGUAUAUAGUUUUACUUUUAGCCCUCCACUGUAGGAGAGGCCCACCACAGUUUGUACUUUGCACAU